rnacentral:rRNA from 1 species
AGUGAACGCUGGCGUCAGGCCUAACACAUGCAAGUCGAGCGGCAGCGGGCUGUAGCAAUACAGUGCCGGCGAGCGGCGGACGGGUGAGGAAUACAUCGGAAUCUGCCUUGUUGUGGGGGAUAACGUAGGGAAACUUACGCUAAUACCGCAUAAGACCGAAAGGUGAAAGUGGGGACCGCAAGGCCUCACGCGACAAGAUG